GCUUACGGCCAUACCACCCUGAGAACGCCCGAUCUCGUCUGAUCUCGGAAGCUAAGCAGGGUCGGGCCUGGUUAGUACUUGGAUGGGAGACCGCCUGGGAAUACCAGGUGCUGUAAGCC
ensembl:rRNA 5S_rRNA 5S ribosomal RNA